CAAUAGCGUAUAUUAAAGUUGUUGCAGUUAAAAAGCUCGUAGUUGGACUUCUGAUGUGGAGGGACGGUCCGCCUCACGGUGAGCACUGAUUCUUCACGUCUUCCUCUCGUAGUCUUUUGGCGCACUUAGUUGGGUGCCUUUAGAAUAUGGGACCUUUACUUUGAAAAAAUUAGAGUGUUCAAAGCAGGCAAUUCGCCUGAAUAAUGGUGCAUGGAAUAAUGGAAUAGGACCUCGGUUCUAUUUUGUUGGUUUUCGGAACUUGAGGUAAUGAUUAAGAGGGACAGACGGGGGCAUUCGUAUUACGGUGUUAGAGGUGAAAUUCUUGGAUCGCCGUAAGACAGACUACUGCGAAAGCAUUUGCCAAGAAUGUUUUCAUUAAUCAAGAUCGAAAGUCAGAGGUUCGAAGACGAUCAGAU
rnacentral:rRNA from 1 species